GACUCCGGUUGAUCCUGCCGGACCCGACCGCUAUCGGGGUGGGGCUAAGCCAUGCAAGUCGGGGCCCCGGGCAAUGGCGGGGCCCGGCGGACGGCUCAGUAACGCGUGGCUAACCUACCCUCGGGACGGGGAUAUCCCCGGGAAACUGGGGGUAAUCCCCGAUAGGCGCGGACACCUGGAAUGGGUCCGCGCCGAAAGGGGCGCGGCGCCAUGCCCGCCGCGUCCGCCCGAGGAUGGGGCUGCGUCCCAUCAUGGUAGUUGGCGGGGUAACGGCCCGCCAAGCCGAAGACGGGUAGGGGCCGUGAGAGCGGGAGCCCCGAGAUGGGCACUGAGACAAGGGCCCAGGCCCUACGGGGCGCAGCAGGCGCGAAACCUCCGCAAUGCGGGCAACCGCGACGGGGUCACCCCGAGUGCUGCCCGAUGAGGGCGGCUUUUCCCCGGUCUAAAAAGCCGGGGGCAAUAAG
rnacentral:rRNA from 1 species